UUUAUUUUGAAUUUGAUAGUCUGUGGGGUUUUUUGGUUCUGUUCAGAGCAAAUGAGCAUUUUCCUUUUAGUCUUUAGACAGUUGUAUAAAUGGAUCUGUCAGUCAGAUGUAACAAAACACACAGCCCCUUUUCCUCUAGAUGAUGAUAAAGAUUGUAAGAAUGAUAAUGAUGAUUGAUGGCCAUGGAGCUGCCUCAUCUGGGCUGCUCCUGCCAAGAGUUGCUAGGGGUUUUGCAGAGGAACAUUCCUUCUCCUUAGUGAGGGAGGAGCUGGGUGUGGCAGGUAUGAAGGAGACAAAUUAUGAGUUCUUUAGGUCUAUCUGCUUGAUCUCUCAGAAAGCCACCUAGGAAAAACUAGAAUUGGUGAUGCUGGCACAGAAAUCUCCACCCCAUCCACAUUCUUGGGGAUACCAUGGGCAAGACACAGAAAAUGAGGCCCCUACAGUUGGAAGAGAAUGGACUCUAUCCUGGACCUGGCUCUCCUGGUUCGUGACCCUGGGCAAACUCACCAUCCUGAGAUUGAACUGGCUGAACCAGCUAGACGACCCAUAUACAGACAUAGUUCUGAUAAAUGGUGGAGCAGGAGGAAAAGGGAAAAGGGAAGUAGAGCCGGGCAGCACCAUAGAAACACUUUUGCCAUAGUCAGGCACGGGUUCAAAUCCUAGCUUUUUGAAAUCUGUGCCACCCUGGGUGAGGUACUGAAAAUCUCUUAUAGGCUGUGUGAUUGCUGCACUUUUCUAUAGCGUCAUGCCUGGGGAUACGAUAUCCUCCUUGUCCGGUCAACAUUAGGUUUGUUGGGUGACUGAGUGAGGCCAAUAAGAUAUAAGUGGAAGUGACCUGAGCCCCUUCUGAGUAGAAGCUUGGUCCCCCUCAUCCUUGUUUAUCCUUUACCUUGGGAAUGGUGACAUCUCAGAGAAGGGUGGCUCCUUAAGCCUGGGUUUUGGAUGGAAUCCACCAUAGCCAUAUGUAAUGUGAGUAAGAAAUAAACUUGUGUGGUUGUCAGCCACUUGAACUUGAGAGUUGUUUGUUACUGCAGCAUAACAGAACCACAGUUGACUGGUGUGCUCCCAAACUCAGUUUCCUCAUCUGCAAACAUGGGUAUAAAUGAAUCUAUUUGGGGCAAGAAAUAGUAAUGAUAACGAUGAUGACAAUGCUGAUAGUCCUCAUAAUAAAAACUAACAUGGGGCACCUGGGUGGCUCAGUGGUUGAGCUCUGCCUUUGGCUUGGGUAGAGAUCUUGGGGUCCUGGGAUCGAGUCUCACAUUGGGCUCCCCAUGGGAAGCCUUCUUCUCCCUCUGCCUGUGUCUCUGCUUCUCUGUGUCUCUCAUGAAUAAAUAAGUCAAAAAAAAAAAAAAAAAGCUAACAUGUAGUGAGCACUUCUGCUGUGCUUGGUUCUAAGUGUUCUAUAUGUAGUAGCUCAUUUGUUCCACAAACAAACAAACCAUCAUUAGAGGAAUACUAUUGUCCACAUUUUGCAGAGGAAGAAACAGGUACAGAGAGGCUUAUGUAUGUGAAGGAGGCUGGAUUGUGGCAAGAAAUUAAUAAGUGUUACCUUUCCUCUCCUUGCAUUGAUGGUAAUGGUAGUUUUGAUGCCUUUUCCCACCACCUUCAUCCCCUACUCCCUGACUUCCUGCUCAAGAGAAAUUAUCAGAGGCAUUAGAGUGACCCAUGAAAUUGCUAAAUGAUAUACUUCCUCUGAAGGUCCAUCAGCGGUGGGACAUGGACAGAUGUCACAUUCUGUGGGUCUUUCCAUCCAGCCCCAGGCCUCAUGGACCUUGCCUGGGGCUGUUUGGCUGUGGCCAAGUGUUGUGUCUCCUAUCACAGGAUCAAGUUCUGCAGAGUGAGGAGUUAUAAUACAUGAUCUCAUGAUUAGCUUCAAUUACCACUGUUCCCACCACUUCCUAUGUGGCCUGGUUGCUCCUCUAGUUUGUUUUAAUUGAAUGAAAUUUACUUACGUUAAUGGCAAAUUCAGACCAUUUGCAAAAGACAUAGCUUGAGAAUUUUGAAUGAGAUUUGGGUUAGGGAUGGGAUUGUCAUGCCUUUUCCUUUGUGAAAUCCUGGGGCAGGAGGUUAGCACAAGCAUCUUUACACAGAACAGCUGCUUCAUGUAACUAUUGCCAAAGCCCAGGGAGUUUUGUCAGGGUAAAUUAAAAGGCAAUAAUUUCAAACACAGUGGGCUCUGAAGUUGCUUUUCCUUUCUCUGAAAAAAUAAUAAUGAUAAUUAACUGUCACUUCACAAUGUUUUGAAGGCUAAAAAUUCAUAUAUCCCAAUAUUGUGCAGUCAUUAGUUCCUAGGUCGCAUAGUGAUGUGCAGGGCUUAGCACAGCAGAGUGGGAACUCCUGUGGCCCGGGCAGUGUGAGCUGUUCAAAAGACCAUAUGAUAUAUUCUCUGCUCCCUGAUGCAUUUUAUCUUAUUUGAAAGAAAGCACAUAUGCAUUCUG
rnacentral:lncRNA from 1 species